GCUUACGGCCACACCGGCCUGAGUACGCCUGAUCUCGUCCGAUCUCGGAAGCUAAGCAGGGUCGGGCCUGGUUAGUACUUGGAUGGGAGCCCGCCUGGGAAUACCAGGUGCUGUAAGCU
rnacentral:rRNA from 1 species